GUGGUCAUGGCAUUCUGAGAAGUUAUAGGGGACACCAAAAAAAGGAGGCAUGCAAUAUUUUCAAAUGUAUGUCAUCAAAUAAACUCAUCAAUAUCAGACAUUAUUUAUGAGCAGUGCUGCACAGAGCCAACGACUUCUUUGCUUCUCGUGCUGCCCUGCUAGUGAGGAGCCGGAGAUACACAAGGUGUUGGGAAGGAACAGAAACAGGACAGUUGACUCAGACUCACCAGAAUGAUUUCCAUAUCAGAUGGCAUCAUGCUCAGAAAUAAAGCCUGCGAUAAAGAAGAAGGAAGAGGAGGAAGUUUGGAGUGAUGACAUUUGUCUUCCCAAGAAACGGUUAUAUGUGAUGAGUCCUAGAAGUGCUGAACAUGUCUGCUGAUAAGAAUUAGUGAUGAAUGCCUGCCUGUUCCUGCAGCAGCAAGGUUCAUGUUGCUUGGUACAGUCAGAGGAAGAGACCUUUUGCCUUUCUUCAGCAACCAAUUUCUUUCUUCAUCUGGAAAGAUCUGUAUCUAUUGGGACGAUAGAUGCAAUUGUAUACCACUUUGCCACCACAUUUCCUGUAUUUUCGUGCUUUAUGCAGAGCUGGAUUGUGGGUUCUGUAGGUUUUAUUUGUGUUGGAUGACUGGAAUAGGUUUUCAGAUUGUGUUUUCUGAAGAGUAACGACUGGUGCAUUAAGUUUUGUCAACAUUAUCUCCACAUCUUUUCUC